rnacentral:rRNA from 1 species
GACGAAGGUGGCGAGCGUUGUUCGGAAUCACUGGGCAUAAAGCGCACGUAGGCGGCGGCGUAAGUCGGGUGUGAAAUCCCUCGGCCUAACCGAGGAACUGCGCCCGAUACUGCGUUGCUUGAGGAUCAGAGGGGUGCAUGGAAUUUCCGGUGGAGCGGUGAAAUGCGUUGAUAUCGGAAGGAACGUCGGCGGCGAAAGCGGUGCACUGGCUGAUCUCUGACGCUGAGGUGCGAAAGCCAGGGGAGCAAACGGG